CCUACGGGUGGCAGCAGUGGGGAAUAUUGGACAAUGGGGGGAACCCUGAUCCAGCCAUGCCGCGUGUGUGAAGAAGGCCCUCGGGUUGUAAAGCACUUUCAGUGAGGAAGAACGCCUGGUGGUUAAUACCCAUCAGGAAAGACUUCACUCACAGAAGAAGCACCGGCUAACUCCGUGCCAGCAGCCGCGGUAAUACGGAGGGUGCGAGCGUUAAUCGGAAUUACUGGGCGUAAAGCGCGCGUAGGUGGCUUGAUAAGCCGGUUGUGAAAGCCCCGGGCUCAACCUGGGAACGGCAUCCGGAACUGUCAAGCUAGAGUGCAGGAGAGGAAGGUAGAAUUCCCGGUGUAGCGGUGAAAUGCGUAGAGAUCGGGAGGAAUACCAGUGGCGAAGGCGGCCUUCUGGACUGACACUGACACUGAGGUGCGAAAGCGUGGGUAGCAAACAGGAUUAGAUACCCUGGUAGUC
rnacentral:rRNA from 1 species